GGGGUGCGGAGAGAUCUGGGAACAAAAAAAUGAUUUCACUUUUUUUUUUAAUUUUAUUUUUUAAGUUUGAUUCCUGCUAUCCAGUAUAAUAUCAAACACGGUAUAAAUAAUACUGUCAUUAGUCUGAUACUGCACCAAACGUCCGACUAAUUUAGUCAGUACUAUCCGAUGGCUAUUUAUCUUAUCCGACAGAAAUAGUCAGUACAGUCCGAACCGCCAAACUAGGCCUUAGUGGAGUGGGGUAGUAGGAGUUUGGGUGUUAGGAAUUGAGUUUGGUGGGAUUGAGAUUUGAGAGUAGAAAUUGAAAUUUUGAAAUUGCGUUUCUUUGGGGACUUGGUUUGCUUGCUGCGGCCUACAGUCUUUUUAUUUUUUUCAUGUUCUAGUGUAUCUUUUUUUCUGGCUAUCUUACCUUUCGUUUGAGCUGUUUUUUUUUUUUUUUUUUUUUUUUUGGGUAUAAAAUAACAUGACUUAAAAAGACGCCAUUUUGGUUAGGUAAUAUUUAAAUAAUAAUAAUAAUAAGGACAACUCUUUUUUGAAGCAUUUUAUCAAACAGUAAGAGGGCACGUAUGAAGGCAAACUCCAACUUUCAUAGGGGUAGCACCCAAGUUAUCUAUGGAGAUUCACCGGAGUUUGAAAAGUCAGCUAACCCUCAACUAAACUAUGUUUCUGAGUUAUUUCGAAUUUCAAUACAAGAUUUGUCUUUCUAGCAUUUUCAGUAAACCGAUAUUUAUAUUAUAUUUAGGAUAAUACUAAGAAGAUCAAAUUUCUAAAUCAACUUUUAUAAACCAAAUAAUGUGGAUGUCGAUGAUUAAAUUAUUACUUAAUUUUAAUUAACGUGCUCAUUUCAUAUUGGUAACAUAAUUAUAAAUUUGAUGAAAAAAUUUGAUCUCUCAAACAUUAUCCUUAUAUUUAAAUAUAAAAUAAUACGAAUAUUUUACCUUCCUUCAGCAUUUACCGGCAAACUCCCUCUCCUUCUCUCUCUGCAAACGCCAAUGGCGAACACUGAGAGACCCGGGUUGCAAAUCCGUGACCUACUAUUUCGUAUACAUUAUUCCGCCUACAGCUUUACGAUCUUCAGCUUAGCUAGUUGCUUCGAUCGCCACUGUCAACCUUACCGCCUUUCCUUCACCCACGAUGACGUCGUUCGACUCGCCGCCACUUCUCCAUUGUGAAUGAGGUGGAAGCAUUGCGCGGACAGUUUAAGUUGAGUAGUUCCAUUCUCAACGACGGAUUACUUCACAAGGUUCAUCAAUUUAUGCACGUGUUGAAUAAUUUUUUUAGUUUUAAUUUUUUAAUUUCUUUGACAUGGGUCAUGGAAAGUAUAUCUUUUUCUUUGAGUUUUUCAUUUACUAGCUGAUAUUUUAUCUGUUGUUCAAUGUCCAUGAGGAGCUGAGGUUGGCGCGUUUCAAAACUCCAGCUGGUGAAAAUCUUUUUUCUGGAUAGAGGACAUCACAACGGUUUUUUCAAGUUUUAUUUUCAACACUAGAGUUAAAGACUGAAAAUGUUGGUUCCCCUACUUCAACUGGCACAAGCACUUCUGGGAUUGACCUACUAAAAUCCAGCCACAACCUCAUCCACAACUUUGUCCUCCAGUGGCAACAUACUAUGAGAAGAUUGUAUCACCAUCGAUGGCAGCAUGAGAAAAUCGUAUCACCGUCAUUGAAACUUCGGUGAAAUAAAUGUCACCAACAAAUUAAAUGUUGACUAGCUAAGACCAUUUCUAAAGGAGAUGUCAAAUUCUAAGUAGAAUGCCAUGUAGUCAAAUUUGAAAGUAGAAAUAAGCUUCAACCGAUAUAUCAACCCUAUGUAAAUUAACAUAUGAGAAAAUGUGAUGUCACUUAAUUUUUUAUUUUUUUUUUGGGUUGAAUCAAAGACGAUAUCAUUAAACUGAGAAAGCUUACACUGAUUCUUAGAUGAGAAGGGCUU